AUUGAACGCUGGCGGAAUGCUUUACACAUGCAAGUCGAGCGGCAGCGCGGGGCAACCUGCGGCGAGCGGCGAACGGGUGAGUAAUGCAUCGGAACGUGUCCAUGUCGUGGGGGAUAGCCCGGCGGAGGCCGGAUUAAUACCGCAUACGCCCGAGAGGGGAAAGGGGGGGAGCGGAAGGCCUCACGCACUCGGGUCGGGCGAGGUCCGAUUAGGUAGUUGGCGGGGUAAAGGCCCACCAAGGCGAUGAUCGGUAGCUGGUCUGAGAGGAUGAUCAGCCACACUGGGACUGAGACACGGCCCAGACUCCUACGGGAGGCAGCUGUGGGGAAUUUUGGACAAUGGGGGCAACCCUGAUCCAGCCAUUCCGCGUGAGUGAAGAAGGCCUUCGGGUUGUAAAGCUCUUUUGUCCGGAACGAAACGGAUGACGUGAAUAUCGUCGUCUACUGACGGUACCGGAAGAAUAAGCACCGGCUAACUACGUGCCAGCCGCCGCCGUAA
rnacentral:rRNA from 1 species